GAGGGAUUGAACUAUGGUAUCGAUGCCCUCGAGUAUCACAGGUGCAUUAUAGAUUUCUCAUCAUUUCCUCGGAAGACGGUCAAUUAUCUCAGUGUUCGUUACCAUCCUGCGCAUGGUAAUAUUGUCACUGCUGUUGGUUUUGGAAACGGGGCUAUCGAUUAUAUCCGAGAAGACAAGAGAGUUGAUCCCAACAUAACUCACCAUUUUCCAAUCAAGAAGAAAAGUCUGGCCAAUUUUGGUAGUUUGAGCAUGUUUCGCAGCGCGAAACACUUAGCAGAACGGGUGAACUUCGCGUGGUUCAAAAGAAACGUGAUCUGUUUCGACCAGCCAUGGAUCUGCUCAUUGUAUGGACCGUACAUUU